AGGCCCAAAAAGCAGCCCAAAUCUGUACCUUGGCUAGUUUGUACUUUCAAAACCGUCUGGGCUUUAAAUUAGUAGUCCAAUUUGGAUAGAAAACUGCCAACCCUGUCUCAGUGGGACUUGGCUUUUAACUAUUGAGUGCUGUUCUUAGAUCUGUUGUCAGCCAUGUUUUUCUUUAUACCAUGUAACUGCAGUUGGAUGUGCAACUGCCACUUUAUUUGUAAAUGCAACUGAACAUGAUUAUAUGUAAAGUCUUUUUUAGUGGAUGAGCAAAUUGCUGCUCCGGAUACGUAGUCUCUGUCACCUUGGUGAAAUCAUUUGAAUAUAUGAACAUAGAUCAGUCAUGGAGACUGCUUUAGUGCAUGGAUCCUAAUACCAAUGUAUUUUAACCACAGAAACAAAGUUAUUGAAAAACAUAAGUGCCAGUGUUGACAGUGCCAGCUUUUUUUAGCCACUGCAGAGGAAUAACUGCUAGAACAGCCAAUGACUACAGUGAAUAUUCAUCGCUUCCUGAAACUCACAGAUGCUCCUCUUGUUGUAUGUCUCCUUAGGGUUUUGUGCCCAGUACAGUUUUCUGCUCUAUGUAAUUGGAGGGCCUGGUAUAUCUAAGAACAGCACUCAGUAAUAAAAUCCAGGUCCCACUGCGACACAUUCAGUUACAUUGA